GACGAACGCUGGCGGCGUGCCUAACACAUGCAAGUCGAGCGGAGUUAGUUAACGGAAGUACUUCGGUAUGGAAGAUAAAUAACUUAGCGGCGGACGGGUGAGUAACGCGUGAGCAACCUUUCCUAGACAGGGGAAUAACACAUUGAAAGAUGUGCUAAUACCGCAUAAGACCACAACAUCACAUGAUGAAGGGGUAAAAGGAGAAAUUCGGUUUAGGGUGGGCUCGCGUCCCAUUAGCUAGUUGGUAAGGUAAAAGCUUACCAAGGCGACGAUGGGUAGCCGACUUGAGAGGGUGAUCGGCCACACUGGGACUGAGACACGGCCCAGACUCCUACGGGAGGCAGCAGUGGGGAAUAUUGGGCAAUGGGGGAAACCCUGACCCAGCAACGCCGCGUGAAGGAAGAAGGUUUUCGGAUUGUAAACUUCUGUCCUAGGUGAAGAGAAAGAGACGGUAGCCAAGGAGGAAGCCCCGGCUAACUACGUGCCAGCAGCCGCAGUAAAAC
rnacentral:rRNA from 1 species